AUCCUGCAAAAAACGGGCCUGGAGGGUGAAGUUGAGCCACAACAGGCCAAAAAAAAGUGGGACAACUUGGGAAAAAAAAUACAAAGAAUGCAAAGAUCCAGGGACAGGGCAGGGGGUCAGUGGGAAGCCUACUGCUGCCACCUGGCCAUGGUUUAUCCUCAGGUUCUGUGUUGCUGUUAUUGUUAAAUUAAAUUAUUAAAUUGUUUAUAAAAGUUA